ACACACCAACUGUUUGGCUGAACCAUAUGAAGUUGCCAGCUUUCAACCAUUUUUGGCCCACAACCCAAUACUGCGCUGUCAUCCAGAUCAGAAAGCAAAGUGUUUUUAAAGCAAGGAGCAUCCCUUUGGUCCAUCAACUGUAACAGAGGACUCAGAAGGGCCGUUAGGAAUACUGAACUUGAAACCUCUGCCCUGCAGGUAUUUCCAUCUAGGGUUUGCUUGAGCACUUACUAUAUGCCAGGUACAAUUCUAAACACUUCUGUUUGUGGAUGAACUAAUUUAACCUUCACAACAAUGAUGCGGGAAGAUGUGUACUGUUAUCAAUGUCCAUUUUAUGCGUUAUUCAAAGAUGUCAAACAACAUACUCAAGUCACUCAGUGGCAAAGAGGAACUGACACUUGAACCUGAUGGCAGUCUGUUCCCGAAGGCCACUGCUACCUACUCUUCAGCACCGCCUUUUCAUCUCUCCAGCCUCCUCUCCGGGGCCCCUGAGGCCACAAGGUAGGCAGUGAGCUCCUUUCGCACCGAAGCUCAACCAGUUCCACCGAGGCCCAAGCUUUGCUAAUAGGCAUAGAGCCCUGGGGAAAACAUUGCUUCUUGGUCCCUCUGUGUUCUAGUCAUAUGACCUUGAACAAGGCCCUCACUCCUCUUAGCUUUAGAUGUUACAUCUGUUUCACAUGGAGGUCUAUGAGUAUUUAGAGAGGAAGGAAGUUAGCAUGAACUGGAUAGCUCUCCUUCUCUGUGUGUGGGGGGGGUUGGGGGGAAGAGGUAUAUUGCUUUAAAUCGCCUCUGACUCUCCUGGAAGGGUCUAAGGAGAAAUUAUUCCUCUCGUUUUGGAUUAAGUAUGCUCAGAAAGGCUAAUGUCUUCCCUAGAGCCUUAGAGUCAGGACAAGUGGAAACAGGAUUCAAAUCUGAAAAUUCAUGCUCCUUUUACUUAAGUAAACUGCUUUAGAAUUACUUAUAGAAAAAUUAAAAAGAGUAUAGUACUCAUCCAUUAACACUCUCAGUGGAUGCCUGGAGCCAUGGCCACUACUGAACCCAAAUGAUAUGCUCAGAACUUUUCACCUCACUUAAAGAAGCACUUUCAGGGUCUUCUUUGGCAUAUUUGAAAUGCCACCAUCACUACACUUACACUUCGGAGCCGCUGCUCCAUAAAAUAAGGGUUCAUUUGCCAUAGGUUCCAUGAGAACACAGUAGAUCUAAUAGCCAAGGCAGCCACCAAGUGAUGACUGAUGGGCGGGGAGCACAUACAGGGUGCAGACACUAGGGUAAAGGGAAGACUCACAUAUCCAGCAGGACAGGGCAGGAUGGCUCAAGACUUCAUCAUGCUACUCAAAACAGUAAGCAAUAUAAAGCUUACGAAUUGUUUAUUUCUAGAACUUUCCAUGAAUAUAUUUGGAGUUGAUUAGGAAACUGAAACCUCACACGGCGAAGCCUCUGAGAGAGAACAACUGUACGGAGUUCCCCCAUAAUCUGUUGCAAGCUUUCUUUACUCUUAACAUCUUGCGCUAUUAGGAUGAUGUGCUUGUCAGAAUUAAUAAACCAAAAUUUACACAUUAUUGUUAAUUACUGUUCGACAUUCUUGGUUUUUACGUACUGCCCUUUAUCCUUCCCCACGAGGCUGGUAGAGUUACGACUAGUAAUUAUGUCUUCUUAGGCUCCUCUCUGCGUGGGCAAUUCCUUGGACUCACCCUGCCAGUACUGAGGACUAGCGCUCAGGUAUUUGGUACCAUGUCCCUCAACUGGAAUGUGUCUGCUUUUGUCCUCAGGGAUAGACUGGAGUUAGGUGUUUCGGGGAGGAAGACCACACACAGAGGUCAGGUUCCGUUCUUGUCGCAACACGUCAAGGACAUAACCUUGUCAGCGAGACCUCUUGCUCUAGACAUUGAACUUGGCUGCCUGACAGGGGUAGUGUUUAGUGGAUUCUUCACUCUAACGCUACUCUUUCUUUUUCCUUUUUCAUGAGCCACUCUUUGGAAGGAAGUCGUUCAGCCCUGCCACUACUUAAGGGAUGGAGAACGGGAUGACGUGCUCCCCUCCUUGUGCGAGGAAGUGCUGCAUAAAUUAUUUGCAAUUCUUCUGCUCCAGGGAUUUGCCUUUCUCCUCUGUUUAUUUAUUUAUUUAAUUGUUUAUUUAUAUCACUAUAGACUCAUGGAAAUUUUCUGUAUACUUUGAGUUAAUAGCCAAUACUGCAUUAUUUAUUUUGUUGCUCAAACUCUUCUAGUUUGACUGUUUGGCGGUUUUUGCAGCUGGCCCCUACUUCCCUUGGCCAUAUCCCCAUCACGGUGGCUCUAUGUUUUUUGAGCACUUUCUUCAUUUCUGGUACCACAGAACACUUCAGGCUCACUUUGUAUAUUCCUUGCCUCAGCCCUGGGAUCAAGCUCUCCUGCACGGAGAUUGAUUCCCUUCAUUGUACGAUGGUAUUAAAGAGCAAGGCCAGGGCACUGAGCAUGUCUAGUUUGACAGGAGCCUACUGACUAACAGAGCACAGAGGUGUAUGCAGAUAUCCUUUCCAGUGGAUGAACGCCCACCUGUAAGUUCCCCUCUGCACAACCGUCUGGAGCUCUGUGAAGCUACCUUGGUUGAGAUUUGUGUCUAUUCUCCCACUCAAAUGCAUUGACACGGGGAUUAGUCCAGCUCCCCCUUGCUUAACCGUAAGUACAUUCCACUCCCAACAGCGAACAGCCUGGCUCCUGCCGACAACCACACACUCUUUCUCCCUAACUCCUGCCAGAUUCCCAAGGCUUAUAUGACAGUUGACAUGGUGAGUAGCUAUGUUCAUUUUUCCUGGACUCUGAGUAGCUUUUCCGUAGUGGGCUAAGAUUCUGUGGCCUGGGAAACCCCCUUGGUUUGGUUUCUAUUGGCAACCUUCAAAGGCCUGGGAUGCUUUCUCCUAGUACUGUGGCCGAUUGAGUCAUUAGAGAGUUUGCGCAUGUUGCAACUGCCCCUCAAACACUGGCUGGCCAAGUUCAAUUUACAGCCUCCUGUGCCAUCACCCUCCCCUCUAACCAGUCAUGGGGUCUCUUGCUCAAUCUUGUGCUUCUGGCUAGUGGACUUGACUGAUUGUGAUGGAGGACACUCAGGAAUCCCGGGCCUAGGCAAUCUGCAGCAGGAGGGCCUAAGGCUGCUUUGACCAGAGCUCCUAUUAGAUCAGCUCAACGGCCAUCGCCUUGGAGCAGUAUGCUCACUGGCCCCAUGUGAGCAGGGUCCUAUGACCAGCCCCGAAUCUUGAGAAGUCUGUGUUUUGGGGGCGUUCUUGCUGUUGCAAAGCACUUGCCAGAGCUGGCGGUACCCCUUCCUACAGGUGACAUUCUCUGGAUCAUAUCAGCCCCAGCCUGUUUCUCCAUUUUGGUACGGGCUGACUGGCAGAUUCCCUGAAGAUUUCCAGGACUCAUGCAUAUGGUGUCUUUCUGCAGCUCCAAGGUUAGACCCAUUUCCAGGUAGGUGAUCUGGCAGGCAGGUUGCUCCCACUGGCUGACAUGGUACCUUUGGCUUUUUUCUUUCUUUCUUUCUUUCUUUUUUCAGGAUCAUGGGUGGGGUUAGAUUGUAAAAUGUUGUUGACUUAUUGGCUGGAAUGACUUCUGUAGAAAGGAUCUCAAGAGCCACACACUACUGGGACCGUCUUUCUCUGGAACUUAUGGAAUUAAGAGUACAGAGUGUCCAAACUGCAAGGCACUUUUGAAGAUAUUUAGCACAAGGCAUUCCUUAUUCACAUCCGACUCUCCUUCUACUCCCACUCCAGAUGCUUCCCUGGUUCCAGGCCCAGUCUGGAACUUAUGAGGGGGGCAUGAAAGAGGAAUAAAUCUCAGUCCCUGCCCUCUAGCAUCUCUCAGUCGAAUAGGGACCCAAGCACCCAAACCGUCACUGUACAUAAUAUACUAAAAAGAACAGCAGUAAUAAUAAUAGCAGAUACCACAUACUGAGUUCGUACUAUGCCCAGGCCUUGGGUGUUUUACAAGCAUCAUUUAUUUGUUCCUAGUAAGCUCCUAGGAGUCACUAGUAUCCCCACAGAAGAGGCAACCUAGGCUUGGCAAUGAGAAUCAACCGAAGUGUGAGAGCCAUGGUCGUACCUCAGACCUUCCCAGCUCCACAGUCUGAGUUCUUUUUCACUCUCUCAGACCUUGAACCCGCAGCCAAGUGUGGUAAGGCAACUUGCCCAGAAAGAAAGGGGCUGAAUCAAGUGCCCUCUGCCCUCAGCUCUACCCAGAAGCCAUAAAGCCUUGCCAAGAAGACAGUGGCGUGUGUUCCUGACCCUAGCUCCUUCUCCUAUCAUGGCCUCAUCUGGCAUGGUCCCAGAGACAGGCAGGCCAUGUGGUCAGCAUACCUCCCUCUCAGCACUGCCAGGCCACAGCUGGCCCACCUUCGUGUGCCCCCUCCAGUGCCCAGCUUUCUCUCCUCAGCCAACCACACAACUCUCCUUCCGUUCAGCAUUCCUGCCAGCUGGUGUGUGAGCCCUGUGUGAGGAGACGAGGUUGCUAUGGCAGCUGUAGAGGGUUAGUGUGGAGAGGGGGGGUACCCUGAUGCAAAGCUACUGACCUCUCUGGGAAGGGAGGCUGUGGCCCCAGGCCUGGUAAGUGCUUCAGCAGAUCACCUCAGACAGCCUACCCCCACCCGCUCUGGCCCUCUGCCCACACCGGGUGUGCUUUAAGAGCUCUCACCACCCGGAGAAAGGGAUGAGCCAGGGAGGAAAAAUGCCCAGGCUCUUCAGAGCUCAAGCCCAAUAUAGCAGAACUAAUUUGAAAUGUCACUUAGGGCAGUCUCACUCCCAGCCAGCAAAAAGCUGGUUUAUUUACAUAGUUGGCUGUGGCAGGAGGCCAGGAACCUUGUCAUGCCAAGGCAUAGGGGAUGGGUGACUAGGAGCCCUGGUUGUGGCCCCUUGGCCUGGAACCUUGCUCUGACUUACAAUCUGGAAGCCCCUAUGGGCACAAGGGUCCUCAGGAGUGCCUUACCCCUCUCUAAGUAGCACUUACCCGCCCCGCCCCCUUUUACAACCUAGGGCACGGCAGGAAUGCUAGUGACUACCUUGGUGCCAGUUCAUGUUAGGCACAACACUGCAUGCCUGGCAUGCUUUUUCUUGUUGCACCCUUACAAAAAAAGGGGGGGCUCUCAGCCCCAUGUCCCAAGUCGGGAAGCUGAAGCUAAGAGAGAUUUAUGAUUUUCUUGUGGCUCUAUAGCCAUUAAGAAAGUGACAACUGGGAUUCAAAUCCAGGUCAGUCUGACUCCUGGGGCUAUGGCUUUCUCUUGUAUCAGUGCUUUGUAGCUUGGCUUCUAUCAUCCAUGCCACGCACUACCCAGGAUAUAGCCUACGCAAGGCACUAGGUCCACCAACUGAUUACCAGUGGCCUGUGUGUGUGCAUGUGUGUUACUGGGGAUUAAACCCAGGGCCUUGUGCAUGCAUAUACACCACUGAGCUGCACCCCCAGCUCCUGAUGGCCUUUUUAAGCAGAGUCCCCAUGGGCCCUCUUGUAUUGCCCAAUGAACCACUAGCUUGGAGGCCGAUUGGCCUGUGGAAGGCAGAGUUCAGGCCCCCAGGAAGAGAAUGCAGGAUGUUUCUGAAGCUUCCUUGUAUGUUUCAGUCACGGACGCAUCCAGGUCCCUAUCUGAGAUGGUUGCAUGCGAGUGGCAGUGCCAGCUGACUAUGUUUUGCUCUGGCAUGUACUGAGUGCCCUUUCGGUGACUGGAUGGUUGUGGAUGCUGAGAGCUCAGAGAGAAAGGUGCGGUCCCUGCUCGCGUGGCUCGAUGAGCUACCAUCUAUAAUAAUAUCACAAGAUAGGCUAAUGUUGAGGGGUCUGUGCCAGGAACUGUUUUAAAGUUGAAGACUUUGAGAGAGGUCCUAUUGCUCUUCUCAGGUGAAGAAAGACAGCUUUGAGAGACACAGUAUUUUUGCCCAGGGUCACCUAGCUGGCAAGAGAUAACAGUGGGGUGUGAGCUCAUGCAGCCUGCUGUCAAAGCCCAUAGUUUUAAUUUUUAAAAAUUUAUGUGUAUGGGUGUUUUAUCAGCAUGUCUGUCUAUGUACCAAAUGUGUGCCUGGUGCAGAGACCAGAAUACGGUAUCAGAUGUCUCGGAACUAGAGUUACAAAUAGUUGUGAACCACCACGGGAGUGAGAGAAUCGAACCUGGAUCCUCUGGAUAAGCAGCCAGUGCUCUUAACCACUGACCCAUUUCUCCAACCCCCAUACUUACCAUUAAUCCAUUCUUAUCUAAUAUAAAGGGGGAAGGUUACACACAGUGGUGAGGAGCCUUAACUUGCCAAAGGUUCCACUGUAGGCAAGCAAAGGAGUCAUUUGCCAGUUGAACCCUUCCUUGAGCACAUCUUCAGAGUGUUGAUCCAGAAAACGGUUCUGGAGGUAGCCCAAGCUACUCACUGAGAAAUUCAACUCCUCUAAAAGGCUAUGUCUCAUUAUCUUUUAGGGCAUUGGCUACUUCUUGGCACUGAAGACUCAGCCAGCCUGCUAGCCAGGGGUUAAUACCCAAGGGAGCCAAAUGAAGAAAGGCCUGCCCUCUUGUCAUGGCCCUAGGGAGGAGAUAUGACUAGAACCAGCUGGUAAUCAUUUAAGGAUGUUGAUACAGCAGCGGUUGAGAGGGGGAGGGGUAUGGCAAAGACCCAGAAAUCAAGACUGGGAUGUGACAGCGAGUUGGCCAGUAGGCAGAUCCUGGGCUGAAGGGACAAAAAUAGAGCCAGGUAGAAGGAGGAUCUACUUGACCUAAAGUGCUAACCAAGUGGUUCUCCUUGAGGUUCAAGACCAAAGCAUCGACUCUAGAAGGCUCAGCGUGGAAACAGUAACUUGGUCUGGGAUAGGGCAGGUAGCUCCGGGUCUUGGAGAACCCAGGCCACUGGAGGCAAGAAGACCAUGACCCACAUUCUAUAAGCUGCCGUCUGCUUACAAGUAACUCAUUUAUCUUUCUGGGAAUUUUUUUUUUCAAAAUAGCUCAGAAGAGAAUAGAGAGAUCUCCGCAGUGGUAAGAGAUCUUCUUCCUGUCCCAGUUCUCCCCACCCCAUGCCCGCCAGCCAUGUGUGCCCCUCAGCAGACAGAACAACCCAAACCUGCCUUUGCAAACACCAUUAGCUGUGGAUGAUUUUUUUGAUUUUUAAUUUUAUUAUUUUAUGUGUAUGGGAUUUACCUGCUACAUCCUAUGCACAUUUGGUACCCAAAGAGGCCAGAAGAGGGUUCUGGGUUCCCCAGAACUAGAGUUAGAGACAGUUGUGAGUUGCCAUGUGGGUGUUGGGAAUUGAAGCCCAGGUCCUCUGCAAGAACAGCCAGUGUUUCUAACUACUGAGUCAUCUCUCUGGCCCCACACUUCCACCCCAGAGAGUUUUACACGAGAAGUAUUUCUUGACCUAGAAACCCAGGGAGGAGUAGGCAGGAUAGCGGCUGCUGCAUGGGCAGACAGCCCUGCCAAGGACCAAGUUGGCUCAGAACUGGAGUUGGGCUGAUUCGAGGAACGAGGACAGUACUGGCUGGCUCAUCAGUGGCAUAGCUACUGACCUCAGGGGCUCAGCUGGGGAGGGACGGCUGCUUUAUGAGAACUCCUGUGGGAAAAGUCACUUGGCCAGGUCCCAAUUCCAAGUCAGCUGUAAUUGUAGAACCAUCCAGGUUUCCCCAAGCCUGUGUCUGGCCCUCCUGAUACUCACUCACACAGCACUUUCUUCUCCCCUCCCCCUCCCAACCAAGCAAUCACUCGAUUUCCUAGCCCCGCCCAUCUCAACUCCUAAACCCUUCCUUCUUCUUUCCUUCCCUGUCUUGUGCCUUUUACUGCUACCACAUCCCUAAUCGGAGGGAAGAGGACGGUACAUUUUCGUUUACCGAGAGGUGCUCUGCUGUGCUGGCCCUGUUUUCCAGAGGAGAGAAACUGCAGGUGGCUAAACCAAAGAAGCAUAAAGCCUCUGCCUUCCUCCUGGCGCAGCCUCCCUUACUCUGGCUCACGCUGCCUACUUGACUCUGCAGAAGCAUAAGAACUAUUAUGCCCUGUCUACCUAACCCAAUCCACUCUGCUUCAAGGCUGAAGGUACAGAAAUGAAAGUUAAUGACCCAAACCUGCAGUCACUUUGAAUUCUAGGAGCAAUAAGGCUGGUCGGACAGGCCCUGCUCCGAGAGGACGGUUGCCUAUGAAGGAAAGGCUGCAUCCUGGAAGACACUGUGUCACAGGGACCACAGUGAUCCCCUUAGGGAUGUGACAGCAAUAAACAACGUAGCACAACUUGUCAAUCACCCUGCAGAACUAGACCUGAGACAAAGAUGGGUGAGAGCAUAUCUUGACCAGAACUGGUUAGUUACACACAGCUCUCGACUGCUACCCUAAUUCUUCCUCGGUUUUAAACAUAAGGUUCAUAUCAGUAUCUCAAAGAUGAAUUUGGGGUCAGCCAGCUCUCUUUAUUUGUUCCUAUUCCCAAUGCAUUGAUUAAAUCUCUUCCUUCGCUGUUCAUCAUCCCCCUCUUUAAUUGGCAUGUUGGGAAGAGUGGUAAAAACAGCCUGUUGUGGCUGUUGCAGCAAAGGUCCCAAAUCUCUGGUCACACUGGGGAAAGUUUUAAUUGUAGCCUGCUAAAAGUUCCAAGCUCUGUAAAUGGCUUGGAUGACAUGUCUAUUGGGUGGAAUCCAUGGCACUUCUCAGGGCCUCCAGCUGUGUUAGGGGCAUCCCUGUGAAGCUCCGUGGGAGCCUGUCUUCUUGGAUUGGACCUGUUGAGCCAGCCCAACAUGGACAAACUAAAGCGAGUACUCUGGUGGGUCCUGGGGAGCUGGCAAGAUAGACCAACGCCCCUGGCUAAGGUAAAUUCUUCUAUGUCUCUGCCUCAAUGCCCAAGGGCUUGGUUCCUGGAGAUUAGCUGAAUCCUGAAAAGGUAAGGAGAGAAAAGCUGUGAUUUUUCUAAUGGGGAAAGGCCAAGAAAGGUCUGAGGGAAAGGGAGCUCUUUUCACAGACCAUGAGCAAGCAUUGUUCCAUAUUGAGGUGGAGAUUUUAGGGGAGGGAUCUGCAGUCAGAAGACUGAGCUCAGAAUCCACGUCUGCUGGAACCAUGUACUGGUUGAGUAUCCCUAACCUGAAAGUCCAAGUGCUCUGAAACUCAAACUGUUUUCUUUUCAGGAUGCAUGCAACAUCUUAUGUGGAAAAUUCCAACCUGGAUUCACCAGAAAAGUCACAGCCAAUGUGCUGGCAUGCUAACAUUUUUUAAAAUACCCUCAGAGCUGGGCAUAGUGGUACAUAACCUCAUCCUGAUAUCUAGGAGAUGAGGCAGAAAGAUAACAAGUUCAAGGCCAGCGUGGUCUGCAGAGUGAGACUUAAUACACACACAUACAUACACAUACACACACACACACACACACACACACACACAACACUACCUUUAGGUUCUAGGAAUAAUAUUUAUUUUCAUAUAAAUUCACCUAAUUAAUUUCAUGUUUAGCUUUAAGACCCAUUCUUAAGAUAUUGCAUUGUAUAUAUGCAAACAUUCUAAUGUUUUAAAUAUAUAUUCAUAUAUGAUAAUUGUUUGCAGGACAUAUUUGCCGAUUAUUCAUCUAUUAUUUUAAAAAGAUACCAAAUCUGAAACCCUUGAUAUGAGGCAUUUAGGAUAAGGGAUACUCAAUCUAUAUUAAAGGUCAUCUAAUCAUGGCUAGUGAAAUGGGUCAGAGGGUAAAUGCACUUGCCAAACAAGCCUGAUAACACAUGUGAAGGCGGAAAGAUAGAACCUAUUCUACAUAAUUGUUUUCUGACCUCCACGUGCACACCAUGGCAUGCAUGUGCUCCCUCCACAUCACACACAGAAUUUAAUAAUAGUAAUAAAUUUUGA